rnacentral:rRNA from 1 species
UACGUAGGGGGCAAGCGUUGUCCGGAAUUAUUGGGCGUAAAGAGCGCGUAGGCGGUCCGAUAAGUCGGCUGUGAAAGUCAGGGGCUCAACCCUUGAAAGCCGGCCGAUACUGUCGGACUAGAGUCCGGAAGAGGCGAGUGGAAUUCCCGGUGUAGCGGUGAAAUGCGCAGAUAUCGGGAGGAACACCAAUGGCGAAGGCAGCUCGCUGGGACGGUACUGACGCUGAGGCGCGAAAGCGUCGGGGAGCAAACAGG